CCCCGAGCAGUCCCCAAUUUUAUAAUUAAAAUAAAUAGUAUUUAUACAAUAACAUUACAUGCUCAUGGCUAAUAAAAGACUAAUAAAAGAAACUGAUAGACUAGUGAGAAGAAAAUAACACCCAUCCCAAAGCCCUGACGACUAUUCCGAUCUCAAAAUAUCACUUAGUACCUGUCAAAUACGAGCAAAAGAACGGGGAAAGCACAAAAAAAAAUACUCGAAUAUACCAACACAUUGUCUUAAAUAAAGGAAAACAGAUAUAGCAAACAAGCACAACAUAAUUAUUUUCUAUAGACAUGUUUUGCUAUCAUAAAUGCUACAGAAUAAGAAAGAAUACAUCAAUAGAGACUAACCAAUUAGGCACAAAGCAAUAAUAAUAGAAUCCAAAGCAAUUGCAGCAAAGAUAAGACGAGAUGUUUCUUUAAAAUCCAAAGUGCCAAAAAGCUUCAAAAUAUUUUUAGAGAAAAUAGAGGGAGUAAUAUAGGAGAUGUCCGUAUAUUGUGAGUUGUCCUUUAAAGAAUGGGGAAGAAAUAUUUAUAUAGUAGUCUUAAUAAAGCAUUGAAGGGAACAAAUAUGUAAGGAUCAGUUAGAGAUAGUAAGAAAGGAAAAUAGAUUAUUCUAAACAAUCAAUCAGAAUCAUUUAAGGAGGAGAAAAAUAUUGAAUUUCCUUAAAUAUUAUCACACAAAUCCAAACGUUUUACUAUAAAUCCACAGCAUGAGACAAAUAUUUUAUUUAAAUAAGGCCAAUUAAUUCCAAUCAAAUAUAAAGCACACGCUUAGCAAAAUUCGAUAAAACAAUUAAAGCACACACAUUGGGUUUCCAUGAAUAAACCAGUAAUAAGGGGUCGUUUGAUAGAGUGUAUAAGAUCAAUGUAAAAUAUAAUGUAUUAGUAAUACUUGCACUAAUAAUGUUUGUAUUACUUAUGCUUGUAUUUAUGCAUGUAUUAUUUCUUAUACAUUAUUUGGUUUGAUGUAUAAGAAAUAAUACAUCUUACGUAAUUUCUAUAAAAGAAAUGUUUAUUUACAAAAAUACCCUUCUUUGAUUUUGUACACUUUUUUGCAACAAAUAUUUUUGUCAUCUCAAGUAUAAUUAGUAUUGUUAAACUAGUAUAUAGAAGUUUCGGAUUAAUUACAAGACCUUCGUCUUUAUGCCAAUGAAUUAACAUAAUCGAAACAAAAAUAAAAUAUAAGACGUAAAAUUAAGAAAUAGCCUCAAUUUUUUUUAAUCUUUUUAAAAACCCUCGAAACAAAGCAAAAAUAUGUUACAAUUAUUUAAAUAAAUUAUUAAUUGUUGUAGAUUAAAAUGGUGGGAAAAAAAAUUGUGAAAUAUUUUUUAAAAAUUCACUAUUGCAAAUUAAAGUGGCGGGAAAAGGAAUGAUGAAAUAUUUUAAGAGGAAAAUUAAUUAAGGGGUAUUAAAGUCAUUUAAGAGAUUAAUGCAUGUAUUAAAGACUUUGCAUUACUAAUACAUAGAAAAUGAGUGGUAUUAGUAAUAUACACCUUAAUACAUAAUAAAGUGUAUUGACUAAAAAUUAUACCAAACAAGGUAUUCAUAAUACACAUUAACUAAUACAUGCAUUAUUUUAGCCAAUACACUCUAUCAAAUGAUCCUAAGAGGGAAAACUAAAAGGUAAGAGAAUAUUUUAACAAUCAGUAAGAAGAUUUUCCUUAAUGCAAUGAUCUGAUUUAAUAGAAUCAUAGAUUACGUUAAUCCUACCAAAAAUAAAUAUAAUGAAAAACUGUCCAAGUUAAGAGGAAAGGAAGGCAAUCAGUAAAAUAGAUAGAAAAAUAGUCAAGGCAAAUCACCCCGAAUCACCAUAAAUAAACAAGUAGCAAAACAAGUAAAUAACAUAGAAUAUGGACGGCACUAGUGUUUAUCAAUAACAAAAUUAACGGAAUCAGUCACAUAAUUUGUCAAAAUAGAAGGAUUGUAAAAUAUUCCUCGGGAUAUUGCAAUUAUGCCCAAAAACAUGUAAAAAUUCCAAGAGAUAUUGAACACACAAAUCACAACCUCGAGAAAAAUUAAAAUUAUGCUUAAUUUUAAUACCAUCUUCGUAGCAAUAAUAGUGGAAUGACGAGAGAAUCGAGAUUUAGAGAGUUUGCGAAAUCAGUCCUCAAAUCAGAGAUUAGGAUUAGGAUAAAACUUGCAUAACAAAAAGGGCUUUCGCAUAUAAUAAUCUAUAAAUACAUAAUUAAACAAAUUGAAUCAAAAUUCAGAGUUAAAUAUCAUGAAAUUUUUAUCUAAGCAAACAAAACAUGCAAUUUAAGGUAUUAGACGAAAGUUCAUUAAAAACCUCGUCGGUCAUCAACUCUGGCGAGGAUGUGAUGAAUGAGGCGAGGGAGGACGGCCGGCUAGAGGAGCUUAGGCGGCAGUAGCUUGGACGACUGGUGUUGUUGUUGCAGUGGAGACGGUACCUUGGGUUGCCGGAUCUAGGUGCGUAAAUGGAGGAGAAGAUCGGAGGGAUCUGGCGGCGGUGGACUUGGCAGUUGGCGGCGGUGGUGGCAAAAAUGGUGGCGGCUGGCCUGGUGGUUGAUGUUGUCGGGUUACAUAGCGGUUAUUCUGUCGGCCAAUGGUGGCGGCUGAUAUUGUUGAUACUGCUUCAGACUCUCCGAUCCUCAAUUCAGACGAUUCAACGAUGUGAGAGAGAGAACCGAAAGAGAGCGGAUGGGAGAAGAGAGAGAGAAGUUCACCGGUGAAAGAACGACGGGAGGCAGCGCCGGUUUUUCUUCAACCUUGGUGGCUGGCCGGCGAUGGCAGCCAUGGUUAUUGGUAGAAAAAGAGUAGAAAGAAAGGAGAGGUAGGUGGCUGUUUGGUUGAAAAUGAAUUAGGGUUAGGGAGUGGUUGUUUAAAAGGAAAGAGAAGGCUUAAUUGAUCUCAGUCUUGGAUCAUCGUUGAUAAUCCAGCUUCUCCAUUGCAUCCGGAAUGUCGACUUUAUUUUCGGGAGACCCUUGGUUCAGGUCCCAAGGCUCCCAGAUUUAUUUUGGGAUAUUGAUCAAAUUUUUAUGAAAAGUAAUAAAAUUAUAGGUGUGGGUCCC
rnacentral:lncRNA from 1 species